AACGAACGCUGGCGGCAUGCCUAACACAUGCAAGUCGAACGAGACCUUCGGGUCUAGUGGCGCAUGGGUGCGUAACGCGUGGGAACCUGCCCUUAGGUUCGGAAUACCUCCCCGAAAGGGGUGCUAAUACCGGAUAAUGUCCUCGGACCAAAGAUUUAUCGCCUUUGGAUGGGCCCGCGUUGGUUUAGCUAGUUGGUAGGGUAAAAGCCUACCAAGGCGACGAUCCAUAGCUGGUCUGAGAGGAUGAUCAGCCACACUGGGACUGGGACACGGCCCAGACUCCUACGGGAGGCAGCAGUGGGGAAUAUUGGACAAUGGGCUAGAGCCUGAUCCAGCAAUGCCGCGUGAGUGAUGAAGUCCUGAGGGUUGUAAAGCUCUUUUACCCGGGAUGAUAAUGACAGUACCGGGAGAAUAAGCACCGGCUAACUCCGUG
rnacentral:rRNA from 1 species